AGCCCUUGACAUGGCAGGACGAUUUCCGGAGACGGAUCUCUUCACUUCGGUGACCUGCACACAGGUGCUGCAUGGCUGUCGUCAGCUCGUGUCGUGAGAUGUUGGGUUAAGUCCCGCAACGAGCGCAACCCUCGCCCUUAGUUGCCAUCAUUCAGUUGGGCACUCCAAGGGGACUGCCGGUGAUGAGCCGGAGGAAGGUGGGGAUGACGUCAAGUCUUCAUGGCCCUUACGGGCUGGGCUACACACGUGCUACAAUGGCGGUGACAGAGGGCUGCUAGAUCGCGAGAUCAUGCUAAUCCCUAAAAGCCGUCUCAGUUCGGAUUGCACUCUGCAACUCGGGUGCAUGAAGUCGGAAUCGCUAGUAAUCGCAGAUCAGCACGCUGCGGUGAAUACGUUCCC
rnacentral:rRNA from 1 species